rnacentral:rRNA from 1 species
AGUAACGGCGAGUGAAGCGGGAAAAGCUCAAAUUUAAAAUCUGGUAGUCUUUGGCUGCCCGAGUUGUAAACUAGAGAAGUGUUAUCCGUAUUGGACCAUGUAAAAGUCUCCUGGAAUGGAGCAUCAUAGAGGGUGAGAAUCCCGUCUUUGACAUGGACUACCAGUGCUUUGUGGUGCGCUCUCAAAGAGUCGAGUUGUUUGGGA